AUAACGUUGGCUAUCUACCCGAGAAAAGAGGCAAGAAGCUCAACUCAGACGAUCACUGGUGAAUCAUUGAAGCCACAGAUAACUACGAAGGUCAUUGUGACCACUGGUGGACAACCAGAGCCUUCCACCCAUCGAGCCCUUCCCAUGGAUGGAUUGGUUGGUUGCAACAGAGAGACGACAAACAAAGACAUCUACACUGUGUUUCCGGUGUCCUGGAACGCAUCCUGUCUGGUUGCCGGGCGAAUUAGCUUGUUGGGAGAUCAAUGUUCACCCGCACCUGUAUCCCAUCAGUAAUCUGCACACCUGUCCUGAUCAUCACCUCUCCCCUUCAAAAGCUCUGACCUGACAUCCAUUCCCUGCCGGAUCGUUAGCCAUGAACAUUACUCACCCGGAUCAUUUACCC
ensembl:lncRNA